rnacentral:tRNA from 1 species
UCCUCGGUAGUAUAGUGGUGAGUAUUCCCGCCUGUCACGCGGGAAGCCGGGGUUCAAUUCCCCGCCGGGGAG